UCUAAGCACAAGCCUAAGAAUGGUAAAGCCGCGAAUGGCUCAUUACAACAGCCAUAGUUUACUGGAUCUUACUUUCCUACUUGGAUAACUGUGGUAAUUCUAGAGCUAAUACACGCAUGAAAGCUCUGACCGUUCGGGAGGAGCGCAUUUAUUAGAACAAAACCAAUCGGGCCUUCGGGCCCGCCAGUUGGUGAAUCUGAAUAACUUUGCAGAUCGCACGGUCUCGUACCGGCGACGUAUCUUUCAAAUGUCUGCCUUAUCAACUUUAGAUGGUAGUUUACACGCCUACCAUGGUUGUAACGGGUAACGGAGAAUAAGGGUUCGACUCCGGAGAGGGAGCCUGAGAAAUGGCUACCACAUCCAAGGAAGGCAGCAGGCACGCAAAUUACCCACUCCCGGCACGGGGAGGUAGUGACGAAAAAUAACGAGGCGGUUCUCUACGAGGCCCGCCAUCGGAAUGGGUACAAUUUAAAUCCUUUAACGAGGAUCUAUUGGAGGGCAAGUCUGGUGCCAG
rnacentral:rRNA from 1 species